UGUCUUCCAAUUAGACACACUCUUCAAUAUUGCAGUUGAAACUGAGUUGUUGAUCCAAGUUUUAAUCAUACCAUUAGCUUGCUUCCAUAGUUGGUAAUUUGGAUCAUUUGUCUCUGGGAUUGGAAGACUUCGAUCCACAAAUCCAACUUUGUUCCUUGCUUCCAAUGCAUUGGUGAAGUGUGCACUCCACAUGUGAUAAUUACUAGUUGUCCAUUCUAAUGAGAUCAAUUUUGUAAUGUAUAAGUCACUCGAAACUAAGGCAUAUGAAUUUAGAAAUAAGUUUUAGUUGGCUCGACUCAUUUGAGAAAUGAGCGGGUUGUGUGUGAUGCAUGUGGUGCAAGGAAGAAGUUGGAAAUGUCGAGGGUUGAGAAUAAAUGGGAAGAGGAAGAGUGGGGUUUGGCAGCAAUGGAGGUUGGUUUCUAUUCAAGAUGGUUUGCUAAGGUGUCUGUUGAGACACCCUAGAGUUGAAAACGGCUGAGGUUGUUUGACCCAUCUGAGGAAUCACUCCAGAUCCAGGUUUGUUGAUGGCAUUUCACCACUUCUUUCUGUUUGGAGACAUUCUGCUGGAAUAUCACCAGUCAGGCUCGUUUGUCCCACACCAGGAAGAGAACCUGGCUCUGAUACCAUGAUGAUUCACGAAUAUUCUCAAGGAGUUAAAGAAAUUAGGGAUAGAAGAAGAAGAUCAUAGAUGAAGAAGAAGAAGAUGGAGAGAAGAAAUGGGUUUUGUAAUAAUUAUUAAAAAAAAAAAAAGAGAUAAUGGGAGGUGUGUGGAAGAAGACAAAGGUGGUCACGUUUUUUUUAUCUCCUUGAAAUUUGGGUUUCAUGUGGCCCUUUUUCAUGUGUGGCAAUUUGAAUUUGUGUUGUGCGUGUGAGAAAGUACCCCGAAAUUAAGGUCCAAGUAUUACAAUCCAACUAAACCCAAGUACAGUUAAGUGAGACGGUUUAGUUGAAAUUAAAACCUCACAGGUAAUCCGAUGUAUCCAUAGAGAACCGGAAUCCCA